GGACCCGCACAAGCGGUGGAGCAUGUGGUUUAAUUCGACGAUACACGAAGAACCUUACCUGGACUUGACAUAGUAAGAACUUUCUAGAGAUAGAUUGGUGUCUGCUUGCAGAAACUUAUAUACAGGUGCUGCACGGCUGUCGUCAGCUCGUGUCGUGAGAUGUUGGGUUAAGUCCCGCAACGAGCGCAACCCUCGUGUUUAGUUGCUAACAGUUCGGCUGAGAACUCUAAACAGACUGCCUACGCAAGUAGGAGGAAGGUGAGGACGACGUCAAGUCAUCAUGGCCCUUACGUCCAGGGCUACACACGUGCUACAAUGGGAUAUACAAAGAGCGGCAAUACGGUGACGUGGAGCAAAUCUUAUAAAAUAUCUCCCAGUUCGGAUUGUAGUCUGCAACUCGACUACAUGAAGUUGGAAUCGCUAGUAAUCGUAGAUCAGCUAUGCUACGGUGAAUACGUUCCCGGGUCUU
rnacentral:rRNA from 1 species